rnacentral:lncRNA from 1 species
AGUUAUUUGACAACUGAGACCAGUUAGCCUCUGUGUAGAAUUGAUUAGAAUGAAAUUCUAGAGCCACAGAGACACUCCCUAUCUUGUAUUAUGCACUAGUUAAGUUACAUGCUGUGGAUCAGCAAUAGUCAUUUACUAAACUCUGUGCUGUGAGAUAUGAGGAUUCCUCCUCAGUUAUCUGAAAUACAGUCAGUGCAGUUGUGUUUAGCCCGUUAGCUUAGAUGAGCUAACUUAUUUAAGCCUAGCUACUUGGCUACAGGUCUGAGAUUGACAAAACACACUGCUUCCUGACCUUCUGUCACUACAACAUCAGUCACUGGACUUCACUUUCUAAGGCACAAGCGCUGGAUGUUAAUCAACACAGAUUUCUCUCUUUAAACUGUUUUUUGGGAUGCAGACAUUCAUGCAGGAUGCAGAGACAUGGGUCUACACUCUGUUCUACACUCUGUUCUACACUCUGGAGUCUAAUGAUUUUACAGUGGAAAAACAGCCAAACUGUGAGAUGUCUUGCACCCUCUGAGGACCAGCAUUUUGCACUGGUGUGCUGAAAAAGCUCUCCCCUGCACAGCAUCGCCCCAUCAGCUGAAUUCCUUCUGCUUUUCUCCGUUUUCUUCUCGGCCCAGAUCUUCCAUCAAAAACUUUGAGUUCCAGGUCAGAUAAGACGCCUCGUCCUCAGGAAAUCAACAGUGAAAUCCAUCCAAGCAUCUGCCUUAAAGUCUUGGUGUGAAGUGCCUUGGUCUGAGUGUUUUUUUUUUCAUCAUAUAAAUAAAUAAAUAAUGUAUAAUAUGCA